rnacentral:rRNA from 1 species
UAAUCCUUGAGGGACCACCAGUGGCGAAGGCGUCUCACCAGAACGGGUCCGACGGUAAGGGACGAAAGCUAGGGGCACGAACCGGAUUAGAUACCCGGGUAGUCCUAGCCGUAAACGAUGCUCGCUAGGUGUCAGUCACGGUGCGACCGUGAUUGGUGCCGUAGGGAAGCCGUGAAGCGAGCCACCUGGGAAGUAUGGCCGCAAGGCUGAAACUUAAAGGAAUUG